rnacentral:rRNA from 1 species
CCUACGGGAGGCAGCAGUGGGGAAUAUUGGGCAAUGGGCGCAAGCCUGACCCAGCAACGCCGCGUGAAGGAAGAAGGCUUUCGGGUUGUAAACUUCUUUUAAGGGGGAAGAGCAGAAGACGGUACCCCUUGAAUAAGCCACGGCUAACUACGUGCCAGCAGCCGCGGUAAUACGUAGGGGGCAAGCGUUAUCCGGAAUUAUUGGGCGUAAAGAGUACGUAGGUGGCAACCUAAGCGCAGGGUUUAAGGCAAUGGCUCAACCAUUGUUCGCCCUGCGAACUGGGAUGCUUGAGUGCAGGAGAGGAAAGCGGAAUUCCUAGUGUAGCGGUGAAAUGCGUAGAUAUUAGGAGGAACACCAGUGGCGAAGGCGGCUUUCUGGACUGUAACUGACACUGAGGUACGAAAGCGUGGGGAGCAAACAGGAUUAGAUACCCGGGUAGUC